AGCCCCUGUUGCCCUGUGAUCUGUAGGUCCUUGGGGACGCACAGUUAAGAUGACAGGACAUCCUGGAAGCUGGGAAAUGAUAUGUAUUCAUUUCCUACCACCGUAGUGGAAGAGAGAUUUUCCCUAUCUUUACAACUGAUAGCAUUUCCAACAGUAAGCUGUGAGAUUCUGCUUGAAAUCACCUCUCAAACAAAUAAAAAACAGACCUGGGAGACAUGCUACACUCAUUCUGCUGAGGAAAUAGGGCAAGAAUAUUUUCUAAGACCCCGAACUCCAGAUAUGCGAUGGGGCAAAUCCUGAAGCGUACAUGGCUAUCUCUCACAGCUAAAGCACCCCUCACCCCUAUCCAGCGCUUCUUACCCCUGGCGCAAGAGAGUCACCUGCGGGGAGGAAAACUAUCAAAAUCCCUUAAACCCAAGUUGUAACCGCACAACUAAAUCAGAAUCCUUGGAGCUGGAUCUGAAAAAAAUACGGUUGAAAGUUGUGCAGGUGAUUACAAUGUGUAGGCAAGCCAGAAAACCAUGGCUUUAACGAGCAGCUUUUGUUAGAAAUGAUUUCUCAAAUGAAUGUAAAAACGUUUGCUGCUGAAUUGUGACCUUUCAAUUUUACCUGCUUUUCCUGCAA
ensembl:lncRNA novel transcript